rnacentral:misc_RNA from 1 species
GAUAAGAACGCAGCGAAAUGCGAUAAGUAAUGUGAAUUGCAGAAUUCAGUGAAUCAUCGAAUCUUUGAACGCACAUUGCGCCCGCCAGUAUUCUGGCGGGCAUGCCUGUUCGAGCGUCAUUUCAACCAUCAAGCCCCCGGCUUGUGUUGGGGACCUGCGGCUGCCGCAGGCCCUGAAAAGCAGUGGCGGGCUCGCUGUCACACCGAGCGUAGUAGAUUUCAUCUCGCUCAGGGCGUGCUGCGGGUUCCGGCCGUUAAACCACCUUCAUAACCCAAGGUUGACCUCGGAUCAGGUAGGAAGACCCGCUGAACUUAAGCAUAUCAAUAAGCGGAGGA